UGGGGAAUUUUGGACAAUGGGCGAAAGCCUGAUCCAGCAAUGCCGCGUGUGUGAAGAAGGCCUUCGGGUUGUAAAGCACUUUUGUCCGGAAAGAAAUCCUUGGCUCUAAUACAGUCGGGGGAUGACGGUACCGGAAGAAUAAGCACCGGCUAACUACGUGCCAGCAGCCGCGGUAAUACGUAGGGUGCAAGCGUUAAUCGGAAUUACUGGGCGUAAAGCGUGCGCAGGCGGUUUGCUAAGACCGAUGUGAAAUCCCCGGGCUCACCUGGGAACUGCAUUGGUGACUGGCAGGCUAGAGUAUGGCAGAGGGGGGUAGAAUUCCACGUGUAGCAGUGAAAUGCGUAGAGAUGUGGAGGAAUACCGAUGGCGAAGGCAGCCCCCUGGGCCAAGUACUGACGCUCAUGCACGAAAGCGUGGGGAGCAAACAGGAUUAGAUACCCUGGUAGUCCACGCCCUAAACGAUGUCAACUAGUUGUUGGGGAUUCAUUUCCUUAGUAACGUAGCUAACGCGUGAAGUUGACCGCUGGGGAGUACGGUCGCAAGAUUAAAACUCAAUGAAUUGACGGGGUCAUGCUG
rnacentral:rRNA from 1 species